rnacentral:rRNA from 1 species
UUUAAAAAAAAAUUAAAAACGACGGGCAAUAUGUACAUAUUAUUUUUAAAAAUUCAAUAAUAAUAUUUAUAAUAAUAUUUAUUAUUAAAUCCAAUUUUAAUUUAUUAUUACAAAUAAACAUCCAUUAUUUUUUAUAAAAUAGUAUUUCAUUUUAAUUUUAAUUAUAAAAUAUAUUAUGAUUUGAAUUUUUUUUUAUUUUAAAAAAAAAUAUUAAUAAUAUUAUUAUAACAAUUAUUUAAACAACAAUAUAUAAUUUAUUUUAAAUUAAAUAUAUUUUAUUGUGUAUUAUCAAAUUAAUAAACAAAAUCCUCUAAUUUUAAAUAAUACUGCCAUAUAAUUUAAUUUUUUAAAUUAAUAUAAUAAUUAAAUUAAUUUUAUCAUAUAAUA